AACGAACGUUAGCGGCGCGCCUAACACAUGCAAGUCGAGCGAGAAGGGAGCAAUCCCAGUAAAGCGGCGCACGGGUGAGUAACACGUAGGUAAUCUACCUCGAGGUGGUGGAUAACCUUCCGAAAGGAGGGCUAAUACAGCAUGAGACCACGUCUUCGCAAGAGGAUGAGGUUAAAGCGGGUCACUACAAGUAAACUCGCGCCACGAGAUGAGCCUGCGGCCCAUCAUGGUAGUUGGUAGGGUAACGGCCUACCAAGCCGAAGACGGGUAGCUGGUCUGAGAGGAUGAUCAGCCACACUGGAACUGAGACACGGUCCAGACUCCUACGGGAGGCAGCAGUGGGGAAUCUUGCGCAAUGGGCGAAAGCCUGACGCAGCGACGCCGCGUGAGUGAUGAAGGCCUC
rnacentral:rRNA from 1 species